ensembl:snRNA U4 U4 spliceosomal RNA
AGUUUUGUGCAGUGGCGGUAUCAUGGCCAAUGAGGUUUACCUGAGGUGUGAUUACUGCUAAUUGAAAACUUUUCCAAUACGGUGUACAACAAGUGCAAUGACAUUUUCUUUAGUACAAAAAUCAAUAGAGUAAUUGU